UACGUAGGGUGCGAGCGUUAAUCGGAAUUACUGGGCGUAAAGCGUGCGCAGGUGGUCAUGCAAGACAGAUGUGAAAUCCCCGGGCUUAACCUGGGAACUGCAUUUGUGACUGCACGGCUAGAGUGCGGCAGAGGGGGAUGGAAUUCCGCGUGUAGCAGUGAAAUGCGUAGAUAUGCGGAGGAACACCGAUGGCGAAGGCGACUACCUGGCCUGUUCUUGACGCUGAGGCGCGAAAGCUAGGGGAGCAAACGGG
rnacentral:rRNA from 1 species